AUGGAUGGAGAGAUGGAUGGAUGGAUGAUAUCGUGCUACUUUCUCUGUUUAUCUGUAGCUGGAGUCUCCAGUCAUACUUUGACUGUGUGGAAACACAAUGACAACAAAGAAUCUUGAUUCUUGCUGCAGAAAUACAGACUAUUAAGAUAUAAAAUGUGAUUAUUGAUACGUUGAUUUAUCCUGUGAUCACCUUUAGAUUUCCUGAGACCAACCGGCUGGAGAAGAUCAGGUUUAUUGAUUUAAAUCACAUUAAAGUCUGUCUGAAGGGAUCAAUAAUCACCGGAUCCACUGAGAGUUCAGCAGUUAAAACAGCAUCUGACUGUUAGUUUGAUCAAAUUAAUGAUUAACGACUCCGGAUUAAUCAUUUAUUGAUUAUUGAUUAAUGGAUAAACAACAGGCAGCUAAUCAAUAAUGGAAUCCGUGUCAGAUAGUAGAUGUCAGUCAGUGUCAACUGAGAUCUUUAUGGAUCGGAAUCAAAGACAAACACGAGGCAGGAAAUAGAUACAAACCUGAUGUCACAUUAUAUUAUAUAUGUCUAUAUUACAGAGAACUAUUAGAUAGAAGUAAAUAUGAAUAUAAAGUAUAUAUAUAUAUAUAUAUAUAUAUAUAUAUAUAUAUAUAUAUAUAAAUGAAUAAAUCUAGUGUAUAGUACAUCGUAUGUGGUGGUGUAGGAGUGAUGCUGCUCCGUCCUCUGGCGGCCAUCAUGUCCUGUCUGAAGGUCACUCUAUUUAUAAUGUGACUCUCUUAAAGGAGAACACACCAGUUACACACUAAACUCUACUACUGUGUGUUUCUGUGUGUGUUUCUGUUUAUUACAGUGUAUUUUUGUGUAUUGUCAAGUAUCAUUGUGUAUUAUUGUGUAUUGUUGUGUGUAUUAUUGUGUAUCAUUGUGUAUUUUUGUGUAUCAUUGUGUAUUAUUGUGUAUCAUUGUGUAUUAUUGUGUAUCAUUGUGUAUUGUUGUGAAUCAUUAUGUUUUACUGUGUAUUGUUGUGUGUAUUAUUGUGUAUCAUUGUGUAUUGUCGUGUCUAUCAUUAUGUGUGUAGUGCAGUACUAACACCAUGUGAUUAUUUGUCAUCACGUGUUGUGUAGAUUGUGUACUUCAUUGAAGUUGCAUUAAUCUUUGUGAGUCUGUCAAAACAUCAAAGCUGUAGAUGGAACAUCGAUGGAACAUUGAUGGAACACUGAUGAAACGCAGAUGAACAUAGAUGGAACAUAGAUUGAAAGCUGAUGAAUGUAGAUGUAACGUUAAUGAAACGUAGAUGAACAUAGAUGAACGUAGAUGGAACGCUGAUGAAGGUUGAUGGAACGAUGAUGAAUGUAGAGGAACGUAGAUGGAACGUUAAUGAAACAUAGAUGGAAUGUAGAUGGAACGUAGAUGAAUGUAGAUGGAACGUUGAUGAAUGUAGAUGAACGUAGUUGUAACGUUAAUGAAACGUAGAUGGAACGUUGAUGAAUGUAGAGGAAUGCAGAUGGAACGUUGAUGAAUGUAGAGGAACGUAGAUGGAACGUUGAUGAACGUAGAUGAAUGUAGAUGGAACAUUGAUGAAUGUAGAGGAACGUUGAUGAAUGUAGAUGGAAUGUUGAUGAACGUAGAUGGAAUUUUGAUGAACGUAGAUGGAACGUUAAUGAAUGUAGAUGAACGUAGUUGUAACGUUAAUGAAACAUAGAUGGAACAUUGAUGAAUGCAGAGGAACGUUGAUGAACGUAGAUGAAUGUAGAUGGAACGUUGAUGAACGUAGAUGGAACGUUGAUGAACGUAGAUGGAACGUUAAUGAAUGUAGAUGAACGUAGUUGUAACGUUAAUGAAACGUAGAUGGAACGUAGAUGAACGUUGAUGAAUGUAGAUGAACGUAGAUAAAAUGAUGAAGGUAGAUGAACGUAGAUGGAACGUUGAUGAACUUUGAUGAACGUAGAUGGAGCGCUGAUGAACGUAGAUGGAACGCUGAUGAACGUUGAUGGAACGUUGAUGAAUGUAGAGGAACGUAGAUGGAACGUUAAUGAAACAUAGAUGGAAUGUAGAUGGAACGUAGAUGAAUGUAGAUGGAACGUUGAUGAAUGUAGAUGAACGUAGUUGUAACGUUAAUGAAACGUAGAUGGAACGUUGAUGAAUGUAGAGGAAUGCAGAUGGAACGUUGAUGAAUGUAGAGGAACGUAGAUGGAACGUUGAUGAACGUAGAUGAAUGUAGAUGGAACAUUGAUGAAUGUAGAGGAACGUUGAUGAAUGUAGAUGGAAUGUUGAUGAACGUAGAUGGAAUUUUGAUGAACGUAGAUGGAACGUUAAUGAAUGUAGAUGAACGUAGUUGUAACGUUAAUGAAACAUAGAUGGAACAUUGAUGAAUGCAGAGGAACGUUGAUGAACGUAGAUGAAUGUAGAUGGAACGUUGAUGAACGUAGAUGGAACGUUGAUGAACGUAGAUGGAACGUUAAUGAAUGUAGAUGAACGUAGUUGUAACGUUAAUGAAACGUAGAUGGAACGUAGAUGAACGUUGAUGAAUGUAGAUGAACGUAGAUAAAAUGAUGAAGGUAGAUGAACGUAGAUGGAACGUUGAUGAACUUUGAUGAACGUAGAUGGAACGCUGAUGAACGUAGAUGGAAUGCUGAUGAAGGUUGAUGGAACGUUGAUGAAUGUAGAGGAAUGUAGAUGGAACGUUAAUGAAACAUAGAUGGAAUGCAGAUGGAACGUAGAUGAAUGUAGAUGGAACUUUGAUGAAUGUAGAGGAACGUAGAUGGAACGUUGAUGAACGUAGAUGAAUGUAGAUGGAACGUUGAUGAAUGUAGAGGAACGUAGAUCAACUUUGAUGAACGUAGAUGAAUGUAGAUGGAACGUUGAUGAAUGUAGAUGAACGUAGUUGUAACGUUAAUGAAACACAGAUGGAACAUUGAUGAAUGUAGAGGAACGUUGAUGAACGUAGAUGAAUGUAGAUGGAACGUUGAUGAACGUAGAUGGAGCGUAGAUGGAACGUUGAUGGAACGUUAAUGAAUGUAGAUGAACGUAGUUGUAACGUAGAUGGAACGUUAAUGAAUGUAGAUGAACGUAGUUGUAACGUUAAUGAAACAUAGAUGGAACAUUGAUGAAUGUAGAGGAACGUUGAUGAACGUAGAUGAAUGUAGAUGGAACGUUGAUGAACGUAGAUGGAACGUAGAUGGAACGUUAAUGAAUGUAGAUGAACGUAGUUGUAACGUUAAUGAAACGUAGAUGGAACGUAGAUGAACGUUGAUGAAUGUAGAUGGAACGCUGAUGAAGGUUGAUGGAACGUUGAUGAAUGUAGAGGAACGUAGAUGGAACGUUAAUGAAACAUAGAUGGAAUGUAGAUGGAACGUAGAUGAAUGUAGAUGGAACGUUGAUGAAUGUAGAUGAACGUAGAUAAAAUGAUGAAGGUAGAUGAACGUAGAUGGAAUGUUGAUGAACGUAGAUGAAUGUAGAUAGAACGCUGAUGAACGUAGAUGGAACGCUGAUGAACGUAGAUGGAACGCUGAUGAAUGUUGAUGGAACGUUGAUGAACGUAGAUGAACGUAGAUGGAACGUUGAUGAACGUAGAUUGAAAGUUGAUGAACGUAGAUGGAACGCUGAUGAACGUAGAUGGAACGCUGAUGAACGUAGAUGGAAAGUUGAUGAACAUAGAUGGAACGUUGAUGAACAUAGAUGAACGUUGAUGUACGUGGAUGGAACGUUGAUGAACGUGGAUGGAACGUUGAUGAACGUAGAUGGAACGUUGAUGAACGUAGAUGAACGUUGAUGAACAUAGAUGAACGUUGAUGAACGUGGAUGGAACGUUGAUGAACGUGGAUGGAACGUUGAUGAACGUAGAUGGAACGUUGAUGAACGUAGAUGGAACGCUGAUGAACGUAGAUGGAAAGUUGAUGAACGUAGAUGGAACGUUGAUGAACAUAGAUGAACGUUGAUGAACGUGGAUGGAACGUUGAUGAACGUGGAUGGAACGUUGAUGAACGUAGAUGGAACGUUGAUGAACGUAGAUGGAACGUUGAUGAACAUAGAUGAACGUUGAUGAACGUAGAUGGAACGUUGAUGAACGUAGAUGGAACGUUGAUGAACGUAGAUGGAACGCUGAUGAACGUAGAUGGAACGCUGAUGAACGUAGAUGGAAAGUUGAUGAACGUAGAUGGAACGUUAAUGAAACGUAGAUGGAACGUUGAUGAAUGUAGAGGAAUGUAGAUGGAACGUUGAUGAAUGUAGAGGAACGUAGAUGGAACGUUGAUGAACGUAGAUGAAUGUAGAUGGAACGUUGAUGAACGUAGAUGGAACUUUGAUGAACGUAGAUGGAACGUUAAUGAAUGUAGAUGAACGUAGUUGUAACGUUAAUGAAACAUAGAUGGAACAUUGAUGAAUGCAGAAGAACGUUGAUGAACGUAGAUGAAUGUAGAUGGAACGUUGAUGAACGUAGAUGGAACGUUGAUGAACGUAGAUGGAACGUUAAUGAAUGUCGAUGAACGUAGUUGUAACGUUAAUGAAACGUAGAUGGAACGUAGAUGAACGUUGAUGAAUGUAGAUGAACGUAGAUAAAAUGAUGACGGUAGAUGAACGUAGAUGGAACGUUGAUGAACUUUGAUGAACGUAGAUGGAACGCUGAUGAACGUAGAUGGAACACUGAUGAAGGUUGAUGGAACGUUGAUGAAUGUAGAGGAACGUAGAUGGAACGUUAAUGAAACAUAGAUGGAAUGUAGAUGGAACGUAGAUGAAUGUAGAUGGAACGCUGAUGAAUGUAGAGGAAUGUAGAUGGAACGUUGAUGAAUGUAGAGGAACGUAGAUGGAACGUUGAUGAACGUAGAUGAAUGUAGAUGGAACGUUGAUGAAUGUAGAUGAACGUAGUUGUAACGUUAAUGAAACAUAGAUGGAACAUUGAUGAAUGUAGAUGGAACGUUGAUGAACGUAGAUGGAGCGUAGAUGGAACGUUGAUGGAACGUUAAUGAAUGUAGAUGAACGUAGUUGUAACGUUAAUGAAACAUAGAUGGAACAUUGAUGAAUGCAGAAGAACGUUGAUGAACGUAGAUGAAUGUAGAUGGAACGUUGAUGAACGUAGAUGGAACGUUGAUGAACGUAGAUGGAACGUUAAUGAAUGUCGAUGAACGUAGUUGUAACGUUAAUGAAACGUAGAUGGAACGUAGAUGAACGUUGAUGAAUGUAGAUGAACGUAGAUAAAAUGAUGAAGGUAGAUGAACGUAGAUGGAACGUUGAUGAACUUUGAUGAACGUAGAUGGAACGUUGAUGAACUUUGAUGAACGUAGAUGGAACGCUGAUGAACGUAGAUGGAACGCUGAUGAAGGUUGAUGGAACGUUGAUGAAUGUAGAGGAAUGUAGAUGGAACGUUAAUGAAACAUAGAUGGAAUGUAGAUGGAACGUAGAUGAAUGUAGAUGGAACGCUGAUGAAUGUAGAGGAAUGUAGAUGGAACGUUGAUGAAUGUAGAGGAACGUAGAUGGAACGUUGAUGAACGUAGAUGAAUGUAGAUGGAACGUUGAUGAAUGUAGAGGAACGUAGAUGGAACGUUGAUGAACGUAGAUGAAUGUAGAUGGAACGUUGAUGAAUGUAGAUGAACGUAGUUGUAACGUUAAUGAAACAUAGAUGGAACAUUGAUGAAUGUAGAGGAACGUUGAUGAACGUAGAUGAAUGUAGAUGGAACGUUGAUGAACGUAGAUGGAGCGUAGAUGGAACGUUGAUGGAACGUUAAUGAAUGUAGAUGAACGUAGUUGUAACGUUAAUGAAACAUAGAUGGAACAUUGAUGAAUGUAGAGGAACGUUGAUGAACGUAGAUGAAUGUAGAUGGAACGUUGAUGAACGUAGAUGGAACGUAGAUGGAACGUUAAUGAAUGUAGAUGAACGUAGUUGUAACGUUAAUGAAACGUAGAUGGAACGUAGAUGAACGUUGAUGAAUGUAGAUGAACGUAGAUAAAAUGAUGAAGGUAGAUGGAACGUUGAUGAACGUAGAUGAACGUAGAUGGAACGUUGAUGAACGUAGAUGGAACGCUGAUGAAUGUAGAUGGAACGUUGAUGAACGUAGAUGGAACGCUGAUGAACGUAGAUGGAACGUUGAUGAACGUAGAUGGAACGCUGAUGAAUGUAGAUGGAACGUUGAUGAACGUAGAUGGAACGCUGAUGAACGUAGAUUGAAAGUUGAUGAACGUAGAUGGAACGCUGAUGAACGUAGAUGGAACGCUGAUGAACGUAGAUGGAAAGUUGAUGAACAUAGAUGGAACGUUGAUGAACGUAGAUGGAAGUUGAUGAACAUAGAUGGAACGUUGAUGAACAUAGAUGAACGUUGAUGAACGUGGAUGGAACGUUGAUGAACAUAGAUGAACGUUGAUGAACAUAGAUGAACGUUGAUGAACGUGGAUGGAACGUUGAAUGAACGUGGAUGGAACGUUGAUGAACGGAGAUGGAACAUUGAUGAACGGAGAUGGAACGUUGAUGAACGUAGAUGGAACGUUGAUGAACGUAGAUGGAACGUUGAUAAACGUAGAUGAACGUUGAUGAACGUCGAUGGAACGUUGAUGAACGUAGAUGCAACGUUGAUGAACGUAGAUGGAACAUUGAUGAACGUAGAUGGAACGUUGAUGAACGUAGAUGGAACUUUGAUGAACGUAGAUGGAACGUUGAUGAACGUAGAUGGAACGCUGAUGAACGUAGAUUGAAAGUUGAUGAACGUAGAUGGAACACUGAUGAACGUAGAUGGAAAGUUGAUGAACGUAGAUGGAACGUUGAUGAAUGUAGAUGAACGUAGAUCGAACGUAGAUGGAUGUUGAUGGAACCUCAAUCCAGUUGUGUGCCUUUGUUUAAUGUGUUAAUGAAGUUCUCAGUUAGUUUGGAGCUGACUGUCAGGAAACAUUCAGUUAAUGUUCAGUUAAUGUUUAGUUAAUGUGCAGUAAUCGUUCAGUUAAUCUUCAGUAAAUAUUCAGUUAACGUUCAGUAAAUAUUCAGUCAAUGUUAAUGUUUAGUUAACGUCCAGUCAGACUGAGGAUGUGUCCUGGUGGUUGCUGGUAUCAGUGAGUUGUUGUGAGUACAGGUUGCUGGUUUGAUUCUCUGUGAAACUGAACCAUCAGAGCUGAUGUCUGCAGUGGAAUAUAACCAGGGCUGCACAUAAGUGGUCCGCAUGCGCGCUUGCGUACUGAAUGUUGACGAAUGCGCUGGUCUUCAAAGGCUUUUGCGUACUGACGGCUCUGACGCCACCGAAAAAAAAGCAAGCUCCUUUUUUCGGUGGCUCCGGUGACGACUCUGUCGGAUUUUUUGUGAAGGGGGUGGAGGAACACGAAAAUAAUUACGGGGCCUGCCUCUUUGACAUUUUGAGAAGUGCUUUUCCUCGUGGUUAGAGCCAUCGGUACGCAAAACGGUACGUAUGAAAGCCUUUGAAGCCCAGCGCAUUCGUCAACGUUCAGUACGCAAGCGUGCAUGCGGACCACUUAUGUGCAGCCCUGAAUAUAACAGUUCAUGAAUCUGAUAGAAUAGAAUAGAAUAGAACAGAAUAGAAUAGAAUAAUUUUAUUAUCUGCCUCAAACAGAGACAGAAAUGGAAGAAAGUAGGAGUAGUGAUGAGGGUGAGAAAGUUUCUGAUCUGUAGUCCUUCAUGGUCUGUUGUCCUUCAUGGUCUGUAGUCCUUCAUGGUCUGUAGUCCUUCAUGGUCUGUAGUCCUUCACUGGUCUGUAGUCCUUCAUGGUCUGUUGUCCUUCAUGGUCUGUAGUCCUUCGCUGGUCUGUAGUCCUUCGCUGGUCCGUAGUCCUUCAUGGUCUGUAGUCCUUCAUGGUCUGUAGUCCUUCACUGGUCUGUAGUCCUUCACUGGUCUGUAGUCCUUCAUGGUCUGUAGUCCUUCAUGGUCUGUAGUCCUUCACUGGUCUGUAGUCCUUCAUGGUCUGUUGUCCUUCAUGGUCUGUAGUCCUUCGCUGGUCUGUAGUCCUUCACUGGUCCGUAGUCCUUCAUGGUCUGUGAUCCUUCAGGGUCUGUAGUCCUUCACUGGUCUGUAGUCCUUCAUGGUCUGUAGUCCUUCAUGGUCUGUAGUCCUUCAGAGUCUGUAGUUCUUCACUGGUCUGUAGUCCUUCACUGGUCUGUAAUCCUUUAGGGUCUGCAGUCCUUCAGGACCACUGGUCUGUAGUGCUUCUCUGGUCCGCAGUCCUUCAGAGUCUGUGGUCCUUCACUGGUCUGUGGUCCUUCAGGGUCUGUGGUCCUUCAGGGUCUGUGGUCCUUCACUCGUCUGUGGUUCUUCAGGGUCUGUAGUCCUUCACUUCUCUGUAGUCCUUCUCUGGUCCGCAGUCCUUCAGGGUCUGUAUUCUGUCACUGGUCUCCAUCCAUACAUUCUCUAUACACCGCUUUAUCCUCACUGGGGUCAUGGGGGGUGCUGGAGUCUAUCCCAGCUGACUCAGGUGAAGGCAGGGGACACCCUGGACAGGUCACCAGUCUGUCACAGGGCUACAUAUACAGACACACAAUCACACUCAUAUUCACACCUACGGACAAUUUAGAGUAACCAAUUAACCUCAGCAUGUUUUUGGACUGUGGGAGGAAGCCGGAGUACCCGGAGAAAACCCACGCAUGCACAGGGAGAACAUGCAAACUCCAUGCAGAAAGAUCCCAGACCCAGGCCGGGAUUUGAACCGGGAUCUUCUUGCUGCAAGGCGAAAGUGCCAACCACUAUACCACUGUGCAGCCCCUGUCACUGGUCUAUUUACGUAACUCUUUCUGAUGAUGUCACAUCUCCCAUCAUGCAGUGGUGCAGUGGAUGCUCGGCCUUGUUGACACUGAAGGACACACACACACACACGCACACACACAGUAAACUGCAGUGUGUGUUAAUCUGGAUUGAGCAGACGGACGAGGUUGGUUGAACGAUAAUCUCCACACACACACACACACACACACACACACACACACACACACACACACACACACACACACACACACACACACACACACACACACACACACACACAGAGUUGUGUUUAUCUGCAGACACACUCUGUCUACAGACCUGAACCAGCUGUGUCUACCUGUAUGACAGACAUUCAGUCAGAAUGAGGCUGAGGACAGGGAUCGACCAAUCAUUGAGGCUGUAGCAGCGUAGCCUGGUUCUAAAGUCAGACAGACUUUACCCUGUUCUACCUGAUAAACAACCCUAAUAUAACAACAAACAGGGCGGCUGAGGAUCAGGUGGUAGAGCGGGUCGUCCAAUCAUCAAAGGGUCGGCGGUUCGAUUCCCGCUCUCGCCUAGUCAUGUGCUGUUGUGUCCUUGGGAAAGACACUUAACCCACCUUGCCUCCAGUGCUCUUCACUGGUGUGUGAAUGCGUGUGAAUGUUGGUGGUGGUCAGAGGGGCUGUAGGCGCCGAUUGGCAGCCACGCUUCUGUCUGCCCCAGAGUGAGAAUGUGUGAGCGUAUGGUUGAAUGGAAGCAAUUGUUGUAUAAGCGCUUUGAGUACUCUGAUGAGUAGUAAAGCACUAUAUAAGAGCAAGUCCAUUCACACAACAAACAUCACCACAAACAUCAUCACAAACAUCACAAACAUCAACACAAAAAUCACAAACAUCAACACAAACAUCACAAACAUCAA